rnacentral:rRNA from 1 species
AGAACCUGAAACCGUGUGCUUACAAGUAGUCAGAGCCCGUUAAUGGGUGAUGGCGUGCCUUUUGUAGAAUGAACCGGCGAGUUACGAUUUGAUGCAAGGUUAAGCAGUAAAUGUGGAGCCGUAGCGAAAGCGAGUCUGAAUAGGGCGUUUAGUAUUUGGUCGUAGACCCGAAACCAGGUGAUCUACCCUUGGUCAGGUUGAAGUUCAGGUAACACUGAAUGGAGGACCGAACCGACUUACGUUGAAAAGUGAGCGGAUGAACUGAGGGUAGCGGAGAAAUUCCAAUCGAACCUGGAGAUAGCUGGUUCUCUCCGAAAUAGCUUUAGGGCUAGCCUCAAGUGAUGAUUAUUGGAGGUAGAGCACUGUUUGGACGAGGGGCCCCUCUCGGGUUACCGAAUUCAGACAAACUCCGAAUGCCAAUUAAUUUAACUUGGGAGUCAGAACAUGGGUGAUAAGGUCCGUGUUCGAAAGGGAAACAGCCCAGACCACCAGCUAAGGUCCCAAAAUAUAUGUUAAGUGGAAAAGGAUGUGGCGUUGCCCAGACAACUAGGAUGUUGGCUUAGAAGCAGCCAUCAUUUAAAGAGUGCGUAAUAGCUCACUAGUCGAGUGACACUGCGCCGAAAAUGUACCGGGGCUAAACAUAUUACCGAAGCUGUGGAUUGUCCUUUGGACAAUGGUAGGAGAGCGUUCUAAGGGCGUUGAAGCAUGAUCGUAAGGACAUGUGGAGCGCUUAGAAGUGAGAAUGCCGGUGUGAGUAGCGAAAGACGGGUGAGAAUCCCGUCCACCGAUUGACUAAGGUUUCCAGAGGAAGGCUCGUCCGCUCUGGGUUAGUCGGGUCCUAAGCUGAGGCCGACAGGCGUAGGCGAUGGAUAACAGGUUGAUAUUCCUGUACCACCUAUAAUCGUUUUAAUCGAUGGGGGGACGCAGUAGGAUAGGCGAAGCGUGCGAUUGGAUUGCACGUCUAAGCAGUAAGGCUGAGUAUUAGGCAAAUCCGGUACUCGUUAAGGCUGAGCUGUGAUGGGGAGAAGACAUUGUGUCUUCGAGUCGUUGAUUUCACACUGCCGAGAAAAGCCUCUAGAUAGAAAAUAGGUGCCCGUACCGCAAACCGACACAGGUAGUCAAGAUGAGAAUUCUAAGGUGAGCGAGCGAACUCUCGUUAAGGAACUCGGCAAAAUGACCCCGUAACUUCGGGAGAAGGGGUGCUCUUUAGGGUUAACGCCCAGAAGAGCCGCAGUGAAUAGGCCCAAGCGACUGUUUAUCAAAAACACAGGUCUCUGCUAAACCGUAAGGUGAUGUAUAGGGGCUGACGCCUGCCCGGUGCUGGAAGGUUAAGAGGAGUGGUUAGCUUCUGCGAAGCUACGAAUCGAAGCCCCAGUAAACGGCGGCCGUAACUAUAACGGUCCUAAGGUAGCGAAAUUCCUUGUCGGGUAAGUUCCGACCCGCACGAAAGGCGUAACGAUUUGGGCACUGUCUCAACGAGAGACUCGGUGAAAUCAUAGUACCUGUGAAGAUGCAGGUUACCCGCGACAGGACGGAAAGACCCCGUGGAGCUUUACUGUAGCCUGAUAUUGAAAUUCGGCACAGCUUGUACAGGAUAGGUAGGAGCCUUUGAAACGUGAGCGCUAGCUUACGUGGAGGCGCUGGUGGGAUACUACCCUAGCUGUGUUGGCUUUCUAACCCGCACCACUUAUCGUGGUGGGAGACAGUGUCAGGCGGGCAGUUUGACUGGGGCGGUCGCCUCCUAAAAGGUAACGGAGGCGCUCAAAGGUUCCCUCAGAAUGGUUGGAAAUCAUUCAUAGAGUGUAAAGGCAUAAGGGAGCUUGACUGCGAGACCUACAAGUCGAGCAGGGUCGAAAGACGGACUUAGUGAUCCGGUGGUUCCGCAUGGAAGGGCCAUCGCUCAACGGAUAAAAGCUACCCCGGGGAUAACAGGCUUAUCUCCCCCAAGAGUUCACAUCGACGGGGAGGUUUGGCACCUCGAUGUCGGCUCAUCGCAUCCUGGGGCUGUAGUCGGUCCCAAGGGUUGGGCUGUUCGCCCAUUAAAGCGGUACGCGAGCUGGGUUCAGAACGUCGUGAGACAGUUCGGUCCCUAUCCGUCGUGGGCGUAGGAAAUUUGAGAGGAGCUGUCCUUAGUACGAGAGGACCGGGAUGGACAUACCUCUGGUGUACCAGUUGUCGUGCCAACGGCAUAGCUGGGUAGCUAUGUGUGGACGGGAUAAGUGCUGAAAG